rnacentral:tmRNA from 1 species
GGGGCUGUACUGGUUUCGACGGGGAUUUAGAAGCCCGGAUAGCCAUCCGCGGACCGUGACCGCGUAUCAAAACGGACUUAAAUAUAAACGCAGACGAUUAUCAGUUAGCGUACGCAGCAUAAGCUGCUGUCGGCCUUGGGUUGCUCACAGCCUGGGAUACCGGCAUUAUGAACUGUGAGGAACUCUCCCGCCAAAGCUUUGAGGCAGGAGGGGUAUUAUGAAGCUACCGAGAGCGUGAGCCCGUUGCCGGGCGCAUGCUUGGGGGAAUCAAAGUACGGCAACUGUGAUGGAAGAAGUCCUGGUGGAAGAGUUUUCGGACAGGGGUUCGACUCCCCUCAGCUCCAU